CGGUUAAAAAGCUCGUAGUUGGAUCUCGGCAAGUAGAGGGCGGUAUGCUUCGUAGCAUUACUGCCCUAUUACUUGUAGUUUUGCCAGAGGUUCCUGGGUGCUCUUAAUCGAGUGUCUAGGGAUGCUGGCAGGUUUACUUUGAAAAAAUUAGAGUGCUCAAAGCAGGCUAUUACGCUUGAAUAUUCGUGCAUGGAAUAAUAGAAUAGGAAGUUGUUUCUAUUUUGUUGGUUUUCGGAAAUCGACUUAAUGAUUAAUAGGGACAGUCGGGGGCAUUUGUAUUCAAACGACAGAGGUGAAAUUCUUGGACCGUUUGAAGACAAACUACUGCGAAAGCAUUUGCCAAGAAUGUUUUCAUUAAUCAAGAACGAAAGUUAGAGGUUCGAAGGCGAUUAGAUACCGCCCUAGUUCUAACCAUAAACGAUGCCAGCUAGCGAUCUGAGGACGUUUUUUUUUGUAGACUCCUCAGGAAGCUUCCGGGAAACCAAAGCGUGUGGGUUCCGGGGGAAGUAUGGUUGCAAAGCUGAAACUUAAAGGAAUUGACGGAAGGGCACCACCAGGAGUGGAGCCUGCGGCUUAAUUUGACUCAACACGGGAAAUCUCACCAGGCCCGGACACUGGAAGGAUUGACAGAUUGAGAGCUCUUUCUCGAU
rnacentral:rRNA from 1 species